rnacentral:rRNA from 1 species
GACGAACGCUGGCGGCGUGCUUAACACAUGCAAGUCGAACGGAAAGGCCCUGCUUUUGUGGGGUGCUCGAGUGGCGAACGGGUGAGUAACACGUGAGUAACCUGCCCUUGACUUUGGGAUAACUUCAGGAAACUGGGGCUAAUACCGGAUAGGAGCUCCUGCUGCAUGGGGGGGGUUGGAAAGUUUCGGCGGUUGGGGAUGGACUCGCGGCUUAUCAGCUUGUUGGUGGGGUAGUGGCUUACCAAGGCUUUGACGGGUAGCCGGCCUGAGAGGGUGACCGGCCACAAUGGGACUGAGAUACGGCCCAGACUCCUACGGGAGGCAGCAGUGGGGAAUAUUGCACAAUGGGCGGAAGCCUGAUGCAGCAACGCCGGGUGCGGGAUGACGGCCUUCGGGUUGUAAACCGCUUUCGCCUGUGACGAAGCGUGAGUGACGGUAAUGGGUAAAGAAGCACCGGCUAACUACGUG